CAGCUACACAGCUGUGUGUGAGGCCAUUUGGUGCUUCCCCUGGUAUGGUGAAAAGUCAGAUAGCAGCCUGUGGGACCUAAUCCUCUAUCAUAUGGGUUCUGAGGACCAAUGUACAGUCAUCAGACUUGGCUGUGAGAGGCUUUACCAUCUAAGCCAUCAUACCCUGAACCCUGAUUCUUUUAUUCUUCAUUUUUAGGGGGCAUUACUUUGAGACAUUGAAAUUUCCAAUUGGGCAUCUUUCUCUUGAGACAAGGUUUCUCAGUGUAAACACAGGCUGCCCUGGAACUCACUCUAUAGACUAGGUUGGCCUCAAACUCCCAGAGAUCCACCUGCCUCUGCUUCCAGAGUUACAGGAUUAAAGGUACCACCACUACUCAGCUGGGUUUUAUUUUUAUUAUGGGCUUGUGUAGUUUGGAUAGACCUUGAACAAGACUUUUCUGCCUCCACCUCUCAAGUUUUGGCAUGAUAGUUGUCACUCACCACAUCCUGUUUAUGGAGAGGCCUAGUGAAUUCUGGGCCAGCACUCUACCCACUGAGACCCAUCUGAGCUGAGAACAUUGAUAAAGGCGACUUGGAGAUGCACAGCUACACACCAACAUCCUAUCUCAGGUAGUAGAGAUAAGAAGAUAGAGGGGGAAGGGGGUGUUGUUAUUGUUAGUCUACUUCCUGAUGCUUAGGGCCAUCAAGUUCCUUGGGGCAAAUUUGAUCUUUGCUGUGAAGAUAUUAAAUUUCUUCCUCCUCUCUUACCAAUGGCACCCGGCAACAAUAACCAAUAUCAGCAGCAGCAGCAGCCACAAUCCCUUGGGGUUCUAGCAUUUAUAUACUCUCUGAAGAGUCCCCAGGAUUCCAAAUGUCACACAUAUGCAGAAACUCUCUGUAGCUGGCAAAAUCACACCCCUGCCAGAACAAAAGGCACAUCACAGUCUGCUGCUGUGGACAGUCUGAAGCUAUAUCCAACACUUGGGAUUAAAACAAAAACUUGCUCCCAUAACAUUUUAUGUUUUUAAAGAAAGCAAAAAUUUCACUAUACUGAAUCACAGGCCUGUGCCACUAAGCAAGGGAGCUAGAACACAGAGAUGCUCCUCUGCUUCCUUCCCUCCACUUUCCUUUUCUGCCUCUUCCAUCCCCACUUUCCCUCUAUGUUCCCUCUAUCCUUCCCCUUCAACUCUCUCUUCCCUUUCCCUUCCUCCCUUAUUUUCCCACACCUUUUUUUUUUUUUUUUGAGGCAUGGUCUCUUUUAGCCCAGGCAUCAUAUUAACUAUGUAGCUAAGUUGACCAUGAACCCCUGUCCCCUCUGCCUUUGUCUACCAUGUGCCCCCAGGAGGAGCCUCAGGAGCAUUGCCCUGAGCUUGCUUUAUAUUGAAGCCACCUCCUGUAUGGCAUUUAGUGAAUCCCCU
rnacentral:lncRNA from 1 species